GACGAACGCUGGCGGCGUGCUUAACACAUGCAAGUCGAACGGAAAGGCCCUGCUUUUGUGGGGUGCUCGAGUGGCGAACGGGUGAGUAACACGUGAGUAACCUGCCCUUGACUUUGGGAUAACUUCAGGAAACUGGGGCUAAUACCGGAUAGGAGCUCCUGCUGCAUGGUGGGGGUUGGAAAGUUUCGGCGGUUGGGGAUGGACUCGCGGCUUAUCAGCUUGUUGGUGGGGUAGUGGCUUACCAAGGCUUUGACGGGUAGCCGGCCUGAGAGGGUGACCGGCCACAUUGGGACUUAGAUACGGCCCAGACUCCUACGGGAGGCAGCAGUGGGGAAUAUUGCACAAUGGGCGGAAGCCUGAUGCAGCAACGCCGCGUGCGGGAUGCCGGCCUUCGGGUUGUAAACCGCUUUCGCCUGUGACGAAGCGUGAGUGACGGUAAUGGGUAAAGAAGCACCGGCUAACUACGUG
rnacentral:rRNA from 1 species